rnacentral:tRNA from 1 species
AGAGAUCCAUGCCAGGGAAAAAGCUUCUAACUUCAUUCCUUAGCGGUUGAAUUCCGUUAACUUCUC